GACCGCUCUGGUGGCCUAGUGGUUGGAGUGUCUGCCUCAGAUGUGGGAGGUCGUGGGUUUGAUCCCCAGCCGAGUCA